rnacentral:misc_RNA from 1 species
UAGUUACUGAGAUUUCUUCCUACUUGUUGCUGAUUUUUGUGUUUGGAAUUGCUGAGAUAAGCUUUUUUCAGCUUUCUUGUGUUUUGUUCUGCAUGAAGUAAAAUGGCUGCAAUUUGUUUAUUCUAAUCAGUAUUAAUAAUCUUUGGAGGUCAAAUGGAGGUGUUGUUGUUAUGUGUGCCAUGGUUUUUUUGCGAUAUUCAUUUGCUGCACUUACAGAUGCAAAGGUAUCUUUCAGGGACAGAGGAGAAUUUGUAAUUGAUUAUUAGUUAAAUGAUUUUCAUCUCUUACAUUGGAGAUAAAAACCAAAUGGUGCUUUUUUGUUUAUUAUCUGUUGAACUGAUUGUGGGCCUUCCAACUUUCAAUCCUUAUUAUGUAUUAGAAUUCCG